ensembl:lncRNA
CGGGUAACAUACUUCUCGCACAAGCAGAUGGCAGCCGUCCUCUUGUCCGGGCUCCUCUCUGGGACUUAUUUCCUUUAGUUAUCAUACUGCCAUGGCAGAUUGUGGUGUCACAACAGCAGCGUAAUGACCGGCAGAGCCCUCAGCCUCCAUCCGGCUCCGACAGGUGUCCAAACAGCAUUUGAUACGCUUGGAAAACAAGGAAGAAGAACAGCGUCUGAUUGUGGUAAAUUCAAUCUGUCCACUUCGUGCAACAUGUUAAAAUAUUGGGAUGCUACAGCAAGAACACAUUGGCAUCCGACAUGCAGGGCAGACUGAUGCAUUUGCAUCAUUUAACUCCAAAUAGGGAAAUCGGUCGUUAAUAUAAUAAGCACUAGUUGGUAGGACAGUCCUAACUGGGAAAGAUUAAAGUGGAACAAUUCAGUCAUCCAUGACGUCAGCUCGACAGGGCUCGCACAAAGAAAGACUAACACUAACGUCAAUGCGACCACGGGACAUUUAAUAGUUAGAUGUUGCAUGAACAAGCAUCACAUUCUCCCUGAAACCACGUUGGGACACAUUUUAUUAGUGUUAAAUAAAGAUGGUUAAUUAGCAUUAACAGCAUGGUAGCAAUGAGGCUAUCCCAGUACAAUGCUAAACCUUGCUACACACGCGGUUAAAACGUUUCGAAAAGCCAAUUAUUAAUGUAAAUACGGGUUUAUUGAUUGGAAUGAAUACGUUUAACGUCCUGGAAGAUUAACCUCAACUUCCUUGUUCCUUCAUUAGUUGAGAGUUUGACGUUGCGACACUGGGACAGCCGCCUAGCCCAGCUAGCUUGACGUUAGCCAUCUCAACGUUACUCAUGUGAAGCGGAUACAAAAUGGCCCACGUGAACACACACGUGUCCACACCGGCGACGAGAAAACUGAACCAUCAAACGGCCGUUUAUCGGUUCCCUGAACAAUGCGAGAACAAGCUACCAUACUUACAGCAGCCCGUGAUGACGAUCAAGCGAUGCAACGUUGGGUUACUUUUCAUCAUGAGGAACAUCUCGGGCCUCCCUCGUGACUUCUCCUCUGCGCAGCAACGGCGGGGAAAGAGAGCGAG